rnacentral:rRNA from 1 species
GUCUAUUUGAAGUUAUAAAAAGUCAGACCUGCCCCCUGACAUUUUAAAGGGCCGCAGUAUUAUAACUGUGCAAAGGUAGCAUAAUCAUUAGGUUUUUAAUUGGAAUCUUGUAUGAAUGGUUAGACAAAAGAAAAGCUCUCUUUAUAUUUAGUUUUGAAUUUAACUUUUAAGUGAAAAGGCUUAAAUACUCUAGAGGGACGAUAAGACCCUAUAAAACUUUACAUUACAAUUAAAUUUUAGUUAAAUUUAUAAAAUAAUAAUUUAAUUUAAUUAUUUGUUAGGUUGGGGAGACAAAAGUAAAAUAUUAUUUUAACUGCUUAAUUAUUAUACAAUUAUUAGUGAGAGAAGUAAAAGAUCCUUAUUAAAGAUUAUUAGGUUAAGUUACUUUAGGGAUAACAGCGUAAUUUCUUUUAAGAGUUCUUAUCGAAAAAGAAGAUUGCGACCUCGAUGUUGAAUUAAAAGUGUCUGUGUAAUGGAGAAGUUACAUAAGAAGGUCUGUUCGACUUUUGAAAUUUUACAUGAUUUGAGUUCAAACCGGUGUGAG